AAAAAAUUGCUAUUAUAAAAAUAGCAGUCAUGACGGGUGGUCGCCCUCUUAGUGUGUAUUAUUAUUACAUAAAAGAGGAAAGGGGGCGAUGCGAAUGACAGUAUUUGAAGCAAUAUAUUUAAUGCUUGCUUUUGGUACUUUUAUUGUAGCAUUACUUUCUCUCAU
rnacentral:sRNA from 1 species